rnacentral:lncRNA from 1 species
GACAAGGAUACUAGGAAGAGUAAAGGUGUUGCAUUCAUUUUAUUUUUGGAUAAGGACUCUGCCUUAAACUGCACCAGAGCAAUAAAUAAUAAACAGGAGAGACUCCCAUUUGGAGAAGGAUGGCAGCAUUGUACUGAAUUAUCAAAUCUGGGAGAGCCUUAAGAGGAACUACAGCAUAGUCCGUAUACACUUACUGCAACACGAAAUGAGGAAACAGUAUCUGAUAUCUAGGCCUUGGUGGCUGUGACUCUGCAUUUACAUCUUUCUCUGCCUCAGUUAUUCGGUAGAGUGAUAAAGGCAAGCAUCGCCAUUGACAACGGAAGAGCAGCCGAGUUCAUCCGGAGGCGAAACUACUUUGAUAAAUCUAAGUGCUAUGAAUGUGGGGAAAGUGGACACUUAAGUUAUGCCUGUCCUAAAAACAUGCUUGGAGAACGUGAGCCUCCAAAGAAGAAAGAAAAGAAGAAGAAAAAGAAAGUCCCUGAACCGGAAGAAGAAAUUGAGGAAGUAGAAGUGAGUGAAGAAGAAGGGGAGGACCCGGCUCUCGACAGUCUCAGUCAGGCCAUAGCAUUCCAGCAGGCCAAAAUUGAAGAAGAACAAAACAAAUGGAGACCCAGCACAGGGGGUCCCUCGACCUCCGAUGAUUCUAGAAGACCAAGAAUAAAGAAGAGCGCAUACUUCAGUGAUGAGGAGGAACUCAGUGACUAAAUCAUAUUUAUUUUGUAAAUAUUAUUCAAAUAAAUCUCACA